rnacentral:rRNA from 1 species
AUUGAACGCUGGCGGCAGGCUUAACACAUGCAAGUCGAGCGAGCGGCGGACGGGUGAGUAAUGUCUGGGAAACUGCCUGAUGGAGGGGGAUAACUACUGGAAACGGUAGCUAAUACCGCAUACCAUCAGAUGUGCCCAGAUGGGAUUAGCUAGUAGGUGGGGUAAUGGCUCACCUAGGCGACGAUCCCUAGCUGGUCUGAGAGGAUGACCAGCCACACUGGAACUGGGCCACGGUCCAGACUCCUACGGGGGGCAGCAAUGGGGAAUGUUGCACAAUUGGCGCAAGCCUGAAGAAACCAUGCCGCGUAUAUGAAGAGGGCCUUCGGGUUGUAAAGUACUUUCAGCGGGGAGGCGUUACCCGAAGAAGAAGCACCGGCUAACUCCGUGCCAGCCGCCGCGGUAAUAC